rnacentral:rRNA from 1 species
UACGAAGGGGGCUAGCGUUGUUCGGAAUUACUGGGCGUAAAGCGUAUGCAGGCGGAUCGUUAAGUCGGGGGUGAAAUCCCGAGGCUCAACCUCGGAACUGCCUUCGAUACUGGCGAUCUUGAGUCCGGGAGAGGUGAGUGGAACUCCGAGUGUAGAGGUGAAAUUCGUAGAUAUUCGGAAGAACACCAGUGGCGAAGGUGGCUCACUGGCCCGGUACUGACGCUGAGAUACGAAAGCGUGGGGAGCAAACAGG